UGACCACCCGUGUCUGCGGGUAGAUGGCCAUACGGACAGCCGGGUCAAAUGCCGA
rnacentral:sRNA from 1 species